CCUUGAACUAUCCAGAAAAUGGUGCUCGAUUUUUAAACCCCGAAUUAUUGUUCGCCAAACGUUGUAAAACCUAAACAAUUACCUUUCUGUGGUUAUCAUUUUUAUAGUUUUUUCAUUUAAGAACAAUUCCGCCAAAUGUCGUCAGCGGCUGCAGCAUUGUUGGACGAAUUAAUGGGCAGAGAUCGUAAUCUCCAGCCUAGUGACCAAAGAACUGAGACUCGGUGGGACGAUAAGGACGUUUGCAAGUAUUUUUUGUGUGGAUUUUGUCCACACGAGUUGUUUGUUAAUACUCGAGCUGACUUGGGUCCUUGUGACAAAAUACACGAUGAGUCACUACGGAAGGAAUAUGAAAAAAGUACUCGUUACCAGAAAAUGACAUAUGAAGAUGAAUUUUUUAGAUUUCUUACCAAUUUAAUAAAUGAUGUUGAGAAAAGAAUUCGGAGGGGUCACCAACGUUUAGCAUUAAAUAAUCAACAAGGAAGCCUGAAUGGAAACAUGCUAGGUGGAAAAGAUGACCGAGUUCAGAUGUUGACACAGAAAAUCAAUGAAUUAGUUGAAAAGGCAGAACAACUGGGGUGUGAAGGUAAUGUGGAUGAGGCUCAAGGGGUGAUGAAAUUAUGCGACCAGCUUAAGGAGGAAAGACGCCAAAUAGAGGAAAAUGAUUCUGGUGAUGGGCCACAGGUGAAGCAAAUGGAAGUUUGUGAAGUGUGUGGUGCAUUCUUGAUUGUUGGGGAUAUGAAGCAGAGAAUAGAUGAACAUCUAUUGGGUAAACAGCACAUGGGUUAUGCACGAGCUAGAGCGACAGUCGAGAAAAUGAAAGAAAAAAUAAAAAAAGAGGCAGAGGAGAGAGAAGAAAGAGAAGCCAGACUUGUUAAAGAAAGAGAAGAACGAGAAAAGGAAAGGGAAAAGGAACGAGAAGAGAGAAAUAAGCGUUUACGAGAAGAACGUGAAAAGUCUAAAAGUCACAGAUCUAGAAGCAGAGAAAGAAGCACACAUAAAAGAAGUUCACACAGUCGAGAUCGUGACCGAGAUCGUGAUAGACAUUCACAUACAUCCUCCAGAAGGUCUCGUAGCCGUGAUCGCCAUCGUUCUUCACGACGUUCACGAAGCAGAGAUAAGAAAUCAAGCACCCGCAGUGAUAGUAGAAGUAAAAGAUCGCCACAUAAAGAGAAGGAUAAAGACAGGCACAGGGAUCGAAAUGAUGACAAGCGAAGAGAUAGAGAAGACAAAGACAAGUAGGAGCUGACAAAAAAACACAAUAUGUACAGAAAGAAACCAUUUCAUCUUAAACAACACAAUUACCCGUGCUAGAGUAGAAACACAUCAACUCAACUAGAAUAAUUGAUUGGUGUUCAUCUCAUUGAAAAAAUGUACCAGUCACCGAAGACCACAAACAAUGAGGUGUACUGUACAUGUAAGUCAAAGUGCCGUCUUAAGGCUAACAACAGUCUUGUGAGCCAAUGGGAUAGUGAAGCCGAGUACAAGUAUAUUUACACAUUGUGAUUCAAAGGUAUAUAUGAAAAAGAAAGAAUGAAUUUCUUUUAAAGAAAAACGACCUGUAAAUUGGCCAUGAACGGGCUUAAAAGAAGAAAAUGUAUUUAAUGUGAAGGGUCGACCGAUUUUAAAUACAUUUUCGAUGAAUCAGAAGAAUUAUUAAAUGCGCAUUUUUGAAGUGAUAGAUCCUACUUAUAAAAUGUUAUCCAUGAACUUCAUAUUAUGUUGAAAGUUGUCACUAGUUUGGAAUAAAAACUAUACAAUUUAGAUGUAAUCUACAGCACAGAAAUGUCUUUGAAUACAGCACAAACAAUUUAAAAUUGGCUGUGUUUAGAAAUAAAUUUGAAGGUUUCUCUGCUUCUUGUGCAAAUGCCCAGCACUAUCUUUUAAUUUUUAAAUAUGUUGAACGGGAAAACAUUUUAUAAGGUGCAUCUGUUUUCAAAUUGAUAAUUAUUUUUAUUAAGAAAUGAAGUUUAUAGGCAUCCAGUGUAGCUGAUAUAAGAAGAGUGGCGAAACACAGCGAAGAAUAGUCAAGAUUUUUGUGACAAUACGAAGUAAAUUUUUGUAUUUUUCUCCAUAGGUCCCAGUUGAAUACCAUGUAAAUCAUUCCAAUAUGAUGUUAAAUCAUAUUGGAUCUAUUGAGCAUAUUGUACAUUGUUGUCCUCGUGAAAAUUCCAUUUUCUGGCAGGGUUGGUAUUUGAACAAGAAAAAACAGUAGAAACCUGGUAAAAAAAAUUGAAUAACUUGGUACAAACUGUCAAAACUCUUGAGGGAUGCAUAUCACUAUUAUAUUAUAAAUCCACUUUUACAUUCUGCUAUUAAAAGUUGAUCACACAUCACAUACUGGAUAGAAGACAAAAAUAUGAUAUCACCACUAAUCUUCUAACAAGAAACUUUAACAGUUAUAUUUUCUGUCAGCACAGGGCUUGGUUGGGUCUUAAUAAACCCAAUGUAUCCUUUGUCCAGUUCUUAGAUAUUGGCUAUAAAUUUUAACCAAUAUCAAAUUUUUUUGAGAUCUGCUCAUAGCUUUAAACACUCGUUGGCCUGACAGGGAUGAGGUGGGACAUAAAAUAAUAUAUAGGUCAUUUUUUUAAAUGAUUUACAUAAAUUUACAAAUUCAAAUUUUUGAGGGUUCUUACCAUUACAUAAACUACAAACAUUAAUUUAAAAAAACUUUAUAUUCACGUUCAAGGAGAAGCUGAACUGAGCUGACUUUCUCUUAUUUACUCUAUUUGAAAUAGUCAUAUAACUGGUCGGUACAAAAGGGUUAAAAUUAAAUGUAGAAUUAAAACAAAGAGUUUAAGUUUCCUGUUAAUGAAUUUGUUUGACCUUGUAAGUUAAUAAAGUAUGACAUUUCUAAUGAUAGAUAAAAUCAAAUUAUAGACUCAAAUCACAUGUACCAAUUUAUUCAGUUAAUACAGAUAUUUUUUCACUGAAUCAUAUCUUGGUACAUAUGUUACAUAUUAACGCCAUGCUUUUCCAUUGAUUGUCUCCCACAUGUACUAAAAAAUGGCAGCUAUAUGUAUGUUCAAAUUUGAAAAUUGUGAAAAAUGGUUAGGUAUUUCGGUGGAAAUAUAUUAUUAUACCUUGAAAUGUUGGUUACAGUUCCGAAGCAUCAUUUAGGGCUUAUAGAAAUCACUUGCAAAGUAUAAUUUUGUGUAAGUUGAAUCUCUUAAAUAGGAAUAUCAGUCCAGAAAUGGUUCAAUUCGUACAGUAUUAAGUAAGUUAUGAUAAAUUAAAAUUUCAUCGAUCUAUGCUGGUUGUGCAUCACAGUCUGGGAGAUUAUAUAGUAACAGAACACAAUUUUUAUGGGAAACAAUCACUGGUUUUAUUCUAAAA